GAUGACGCGCGUGCCGGCGGGGAUGGUGUAGCCGUUGAUCUCGCAGUCGUGGGUGGAGAAGUGCGGCAGGAGGAACGGCGCCGGCGGGUGGAUGCGCAUGGACUCCUUGAUGGUGGCCUUCAGGUAUGGCAUCCGGCUCAGGUCCUCCUCCAUCACCAUGCGGCCGUCGGGCGUCGCCGUCCUCACCUCCUUCUGGAGCUUGGCCAGGACGUGGCGGUUGUUCAUCAGCUCGCUCAUGGAGUACUCCAGCACCAGGAAUGAUGUCUCGAUGGCUGCUUCGAAC
rnacentral:lncRNA from 1 species